AAGACGGUCUUGCUGUCACUUAUAGAUGGAUCCGCGCUGCAUUAGCUAGUUGGUAAGGUAACGGCUUACCAAGGCAACGAUGCAUAGCCGACCUGAGAGGGUGAUCGGCCACACUGGAACUGAGACACGGUCCAGACUCCUACGGGAGGCAGCAGUAGGGAAUCUUCCGCAAUGGGCGAAAGCCUGACGGAGCAACGCCGCGUGAGUGAUGAAGGUCUUCGGAUCGUAAAACUCUGUUAUUAGGGAAGAACAUAUGUGUAAGUAACUGUGCACAUCUUGACGGUACCUAAUCAGAAAGCCACGGCUAACUACGUGCCAGCAGCCGCGGUAAUACGUAGGUGGCAAGCGUUAUCCGGAAUUAUUGGGCGUAAAGCGCGCGUAGGCGGUUUUUUAAGUCUGAUGUGAAAGCCCACGGCUCAACCGUGGAGGGUCAUUGGAAACUGGAAAACUUGAGUGCAGAAGAGGAAAGUGGAAUUCCAUGUGUAGCGGUGAAAUGCGCAGAGAUAUGGAGGAACACCAGUGGCGAAGGCGACUUUCUGGUCUGUAACUGACGCUGAUGUGCGAAAGCGUGGGGAUCAAACAGGAUUAGAUACCCUGGUAGUCCACGCCGUAAACGAUGAGUGCUAAGUGUUAGGGGGUUUCCGCCCCUUAGUGCUGCAGCUAACGCAUUAAGCACUCCGCCUGGG
rnacentral:rRNA from 1 species